CCUACGGGCGGCUGCAGUGAGGAAUAUUGGUCAAUGGGCGGGAGCCUGAACCAGCCAAGUCGCGUGAGGGAAGACGGUCCUAUGGAUUGUAAACCUCUUUAGGCGGGGAGCAAUGCCGGGCACGCGUGCCCGGAGGGAGAGUACCCGCAGAAUAAGCAUCGGCUAACUCCGUGCCAGCAGCCGCGGUAAUACGGAGGAUGCGAGCGUUAUCCGGAUUUUUUGGGUUUAAGGGGUGCGUAGGCGGAUUUUUAAGUCAGCGGUAAAUUGUCCGGGCUCAACCCGGGCCGGCCGUUGAAACUGGGGAUCUUGAGUGGGCGAGAAGAAGGCGGAAUGCGUGGUGUAGCGGUGAAAUGCAUAGAUAUCACGCAGAACCCCGAUUGCGAAGGCAGCCUUCCGGCGCCCUACUGACGCUGAGGCACGAAAGUGCGGGGAUCGAACAGGAUUAGAUACCCCAGUAGUC
rnacentral:rRNA from 1 species